CUCACUCUCUCUCUGGGAACUCUCUGGCGACUCUGCUCCAGUCUCUGCCUCGUCGAAAUCAAGUUGAAGGCUCCGAGAUCAGGUCGUCGCAGAAAACGAGGAUGAAAGUCAAGCUCUUGAGUAUCCUUCACAUAAUGCCUGGCUGCACUUCUUGCUGUCCAAUAUAUUCAUAGACUGGCCAAUUUAGUUUUUUUUAAUAAUGAGAUGAAUAAACAGUCCAGUAAUGAAAGCUAUGUUAGUGUUUCUUUGUGCCGUCGAGCUGUCAUUCAAUUCUCUGUGCUGUCUGACCAAUAUUUGAUCUAUAUGUAGCUGUUUCCUGGAUAUUGUAUUUGUGUACUCAUUAAACCUUCCACUACCGAUUACUAAUACAUAUCUCA